AGAGUUGUAUCCUGGCUCAGAAUGAACGCUGGCGGCAGGCCUAACACAUGCAAGUCGAACGGGUCCUUCGGGACUAGUGGCGGACGGGUGGGUAACGCGUGGGAACAUACCCAAAGGUACGGAAUAGCCUCUGGAAACGGAGAGUAAUACCGUAUGUGCCCUCCGGGGGAAAGAUUUAUCGCCUUUGGAUUGGCCCGCGUUGGAUUAGGUAGUUGGUGGGGUAAUGGCCUACCAAGCCGACGAUCCAUAGCUGGUUUGAGAGGAUGAUCAGCCACACUGGGACUGAGACACGGCCCAGACUCCUACGGGAGGCAGCAGUGGGGAAUCUUAGACAAUGGGGGAAACCCUGAUCUAGCCAUGCCGCGUGAUCGAUGAAGGCCUUAGGGUUGUAAAGAUCUUUCAGUUGGGAAGAUAAUGACGGUACCAACAGAAGAAGCCCCGGCUAACUCCGUGCCAGCAGCCGCGGUAAUACGGAGGGGGCUAGCGUUAUUCGGAAUUACUGGGCGUAAAGCGCACGUAGGCGGAUCAGAAAGUCAGAGGUGAAAUCCCAGGGCUCAACCUUGGAACUGCCUUUGAAACUCCUGGUCUUGAGGUCGAGAGAGGUGAGUGGAAUUCCGAGUGUAGAGGUGAAAUUCGUAGAUAUUCGGAGGAACACCAGUGGCGAAGGCGGCUCACUGGCUCGAUACUGACGCUGAGGUG
rnacentral:rRNA from 1 species